UACGAGGGGUCCUAGCGUUGUUCGGAAUCAUUGGGCGUAAAGAGUAUGUAGGCGGCUAGAUAAGUCAGGUGUGAAAUCCCCGGGCUCAACCCGGGAAGUGCAUUUGAUACUGUCUAGCUUGAGUAUGGAAGAGGGUAGUGGAAUUCCUGGUGUAGUGGUGAAAUACGUAGAUAUCAGGAGGAACACCGGUGGCGAAAGCGGCCACCUGGACUGCACCUGACGCUGACACGCGAAAGCUAGGGGAGCGAACGGG
rnacentral:rRNA from 1 species